GAGUGACGACUCACGACUGGCGGCUGCCAUUUUGUUUACAAAUCCAUUUGCUUUUGUGUGAGGAUAGUUUUGUUUAAAAUCUACAAAAAUAAAGUAAUUCAAGAUGAGCUACGGUCGCCCUCCGCCACGAAUUGAUGGCAUGGUAUCAUUAAAAGUGGAUAAUCUAACGUAUAGAACCACACCUGAAGACUUAAGACGCGUUUUCGAAAGAUGUGGUGAUGUUGGUGAUAUUUAUAUACCACGGGAUAGAUACACCCGUGAAAGUAGAGGAUUCGCUUUCGUAAGGUUCUUUGAGAAGCGUCAAGCGGAGGUGGCAUUGGAUACUUUGGAUGGUAGGAUGUUGGACGGAAGGGAGCUUCGCGUGCAGAUGGCGCGAUAUGGCCGACCGUCAUCACCUCACAGAAGCCGCCACGACCGCCGCAGAAGCCACUCUCGGUCCCGCUCCCGUUCGCGCCGCCGCACCCGUUCUCGGUCCAGGAAGCGCUCGUACUCUCGCAGCCGCUCCGGCUCGCGCUCGCGCUCCCGCUCCGGCUCCAAGAGUUCCAGGGGACGCUCUCAUAGCCGCAGCCGCUCCCGUUCUCGUUCCAGGCACUAAACAUGAUCAACUGGGUUUCUGAACCCUACGAACCUGAAAUGAUCGAGCUGAGCUGACAAGCUGUCUCCCCAUCUUAUUCAGGGUGUGGAGUGGAGUGUGGGGCGAGGCAGAGUGUGCGGGGAGGGGUUUUGGCUGUUUCCUGACAACCUUUUUGCUGUUGUGGCCGAGCAUAAGUUAGGAUUCAUUUUUAAUACUUCAGAAAACAUGGUAAACAUUUGUUUCAUUAAAACAUAAGACGAGCCUCAAGGUCAUGACUUCUACUCAGGCCAAAAUGUACAGAAAUAACAUGGAAUACUCCAAAAUUUUUGAGAGUCUCUAAUAGAAACUUCGAAUUUUUCAUCUGUAGAAUAAGUACUUGUAGUUCUAAAUUUCUGUAGUGUAGAUUUAGUUUUCUUGUAUUAAACACUUAUAAAAAUCAGCAUUUAUUGUGAGUAAGAAACCAAACUGUUCUGUAUAUGUUCACUAAUACACAAAUUUGUUUGUCAGGCCGGUGGCGCUCGCUGGCCUGAUUGCUGUGGCAGUUUCCUGUGCUGUUUGCCGUGUUUCCAGAUACACCCUGUGUUUCCCACUUUUAAACUCACUCAAGUCACUUCGCAAAUGAUAAAACAGGAAAUUGAAAUUAUAUUUUUAUACCUAAGGGGAUUGGAAAAAUCUCUGUUCGGCAAAGCUUUCGUCUAUGUCCUGUUCAUCACAUUAUGAUAGUAUGAUGUCGAGGAUAUAGACGGAAAAUUUUAUUUUAGAAGAGAAACCUUUUCUUAAAUCUACAUCAAGAAAGAAGAUGCGUCACACCAGAACAAUAAUUUCACUUAAUUAAUGAGGAUUUGAAUAAAUUUGUAUACUUAAAUUAAA